rnacentral:rRNA from 1 species
AUUGAACGCUGGCGGCAUGCCUUACACAUGCAAGUCGAACGGUAACGCGGGGCAACCUGGCGACGAGUGGCGAACGGGUGAGUAAUGUAUCGGAACGUGCCCAGUUGUGGGGGAUAACUGCUCGAAAGAGCAGCUAAUACCGCAUACGACCUGAGGGUGAAAGCGGGGGAUCGCAAGACCUCGCGCAAUUGGAGCGGCCGAUAUCAGAUUAGGUAGUUGGUGAGGUAAAGGCUCACCAAGCCGACGAUCUGUAGCUGGUCUGAGAGGACGACCAGCCACACUGGGACUGAGACACGGCCCAGACUCCUACGGGAGGCAGCAGUGGGAAAUUUUGGACAAUGGACGCAAGUCUGAUCCAGCCAUGCCGCGUGCGGGAAGAAGGCCUUCGGGUUGUAAACCGCUUUUGUCAGGGAAGAAACGCUCUGGGUUAAUACCUCGGGGUAAUGACGGUACCUGAAGAAUAAGCACCGGCUAACUACGUGCCAGCCGCCGCCGUAACAC